rnacentral:rRNA from 1 species
AUACGUAGGGGGCGAGCGUUGUCCGGAAUGAUUGGGCGUAAAGGGCGCGUAGGCGGCCCGGUAAGUCUGGAGUGAAAGUCCUGUUUUUAAGAUGGGAAUUGCUUUGGAUACUGUCGGUCUUGAGUGCUGGAGUGGUAAGUGGAAUUCCAAGUGUAGCGGUGAAAUGCGUAGUGAUUGGGAGGAACACCCGUGGCGAAGGCGACUUACUGGACUGUAACUGACGCUGAGGCGCGAACGAGUGGGGAGCAAACAGGAUUAUAUACCCUGGUAGUCCACGCGGUAAACGAUGAAUGCUAGGUGUAGGGGGUAUCGACCCCUCCUGUGCCGGAGUGAACACAAUAAGCAUUCCGCCUGGGGAGUACGGCCGCAAGGUUGAAACUCAAAGGAAUUGGCGGGG